CGUAACCUACCCUGUAGAUCCGGGCUUUUGUAGAAUAAUCGGCGUAAAAGCCUCAGAAGCUCGUUUCUACAGGUAUCUUACGG
rnacentral:pre_miRNA from 1 species